CAUCCGCAGCAGGUCUCCAAGGUGAACAGCCUCUAGUCGAUGGACCAAUGUAGGUAAGGGAAGUCGGCAAAACGGAUCCGUAACCUUGGGAUAAGGAUUGGCUCUGAGGACUGAGCCGGUCGGGCUGGGGACCUGAAGCAGGAACGGCACUGCACCGGGACUGGGCGGGGCUCGCCGUUCACGCGGCGCGGCCAAGCCCGGACCAGCGUCGGGACCUUCCUGUGGAAAGCCUCAGCUGCGCGGCGUCUGAGGGCUUCGUGCCCAAAGUGCUAUGCUUCGGCCGGCAAAAAACAGUCAACUCAGAACUGGCACGGACCGGGGGAAUCCGACUGUCUAAUUAAAACAAAGCAUUGCGAUGGCCGCUGGUCGGUGUUGACGCAAUGUGAUUUCUGCCCAGUGCUCUGAAUGUCAACGUGAAGAGAUUCAUCAAAGCGCGGGUAAACGGCGGGAGUAACUAUGACUCUCUUGUCGGCCCCGGGUCCAGAUGGCUUCACAGCUCGGCUUCUCAGGGCAGUACCCUCUACCAUCUUGAGGGUGCUGCUCAACCUUCUGAUGCUGCUUGGCCGGGUCCCUGCUGCACUUCAGGCCGGCCGCACGGUUUUCAUCCCGAAGACAAGUCCUGCGACGGAGGCGGGCCACUUCCGCCCGAUUACCAUGGCGCCGGUGGUCCAGCGGCUACUGCACAAGGUUCUGGCACGCCGUCUUACCGCUGCUGUCGGGCUCAACUUCCGUCAGCGGGCAUUUCAACCGGUGGACGGCUGCGCUGAGAAUGUGCUGCUGCUGGCCACCGCCAUUGCCGAGGCGAAGCAGCGGCUGCGGCCUCUCUACAUGGCCUCCAUCGACCUGACGAAGGCCUUCGACCGAGUCAGCACCGAGGCCAUCAUUCGGGGCGCCGUGCGGGCUGGCCUGGCGGGCAGCUUCGUGGCAUACGUUCGGGACCUAUACCGAACCUCCCAGUCCAUCCUCACGUACAAGGGGAGAGCCUGCUGGUGGAGCCGACCACCGGGGUGCGACAGGGGACC
rnacentral:ncRNA from 1 species